rnacentral:rRNA from 1 species
CAGGGUUUGAUCCUGGCUCAGAGUGAACGCUGGCGGUAGGCCUAACACAUGCAAGUCGAACGGCAGCACAGGAGAGCUUGCUCUCUGGGUGGCGAGUGGCGGACGGGUGAGGAAUACAUCGGAAUCUACUUUUUCGUGGGGGAUAACGUAGGGAAACUUACGCUAAUACCGCAUACGACCUACGGGUGAAAGCAGGGGAUCUUCGGACCUUGCGCGAUUGAAUGAGCCGAUGUCGGAUUAGCUAGUUGGCGGGGUAAAGGCCCACCAAGGCGACGAUCCGUAGCUGGUCUGAGAGGAUGAUCAGCCACACUGGAACUGAGACACGGUCCAGACUCCUACGGGAGGCAGCAGUGGGGAAUAUUGGACAAUGGGCGCAAGCCUGAUCCAGCCAUACCGCGUGGGUGAAGAAGGCCUUCGGGUUGUAAAGCCCUUUUGUUGGGAAAGAAAUCCAGCUGGCUAAUACCCGGUUGGGAUGACGGUACCCAAAGAAUAAGCACCGGCUAACUUCGUGCCAGCAGCCGCGGUAAUACGAAGGGUGCAAGCGUUACUCGGAAUUACUGGGCGUAAAGCGUGCGUAGGUGGUCGUUUAAGUCCGUUGUGAAAGCCCUGGGCUCAACCUGGGAACUGCAGUGGAUACUGGACGACUAGAGUGUGGUAGAGGGUAGCGGAAUUCCUGGUGUAGCAGUGAAAUGCGUAGAGAUCAGGAGGAACAUCCAUG